rnacentral:rRNA from 13 species
UCCAGCUCCAAUAGCGUAUAUUAAAGUUGUUGCAGUUAAAACGCUCGUAGUCGGAUUUCGGGGCGGUCCCGCCGGUCUGCCGAUGGGUACGCACUGGCGGGCGCGUCCUUCCUCCCGGAGACGGCCGCUACUCUUAACUGAGCGGUGGUCGGAGACGGGAUGUUUACUUUGAAAAAAUCAGAGUGUUUCAAGCAGGCAGUCGCUCUUGCAUGGAUUAGCAUGGGAUAAUGAAAUAGGACUCUGGUGCUAUUUUGUUGGUUUCGAGCACCGGAGUAAUGAUUAACAGGGACAGUCAGGGGCACUCGUAUUCCGCCGAGAGAGGUGAAAUUCUCAGACCAGCGGAAGACGAACGACUGCGAAAGCAUUUGCCAGGGAUGUUUUCACUGAUCAAGAACGAAAGUUAGGGGAU